AACGAACGCUGGCGGCAUGCCUAACACAUGCAAGUCGAACGAGAUCUUCGGGUCUAGUGGCGCACGGGUGCGUAACGCGUGGGAAUCUGCCCUCAGGUUCGGAAUAACCAUUGGAAACGAUGGCUAAUACCGGAUGAUGACGUUAAGUCCAAAGAUUUAUCGCCUGAGGAUGAGCCCGCGUAGGAUUAGCUAGUUGGUGUGGUAAAGGCGCACCAAGGCGACGAUCCUUAGCUGGUCUGAGAGGAUGAUCAGCCACACUGGGACUGAGACACGGCCCAGACUCCUACGGGAAGCAGCAGUGGGGAAUAUUGGACAAUGGGCGAAAGCCUGAUCCAGCAAUGCCGCGUGAGUGGUGAAGGCCUUAGGGUUGUAAAGCUCUUUUACCCGGGAUGAUAAUGACAGUACCGGGAGAAUAAGCGCCGGCUAACUCCGUG
rnacentral:rRNA from 1 species